CGACCAAUCACAUGCGAGCUGGAGACCACGUGCGGAAGUACAUGGUGUGGCUGCGCAGGCCGAGCGACUCACUGGACACUUUCCGAAUCGCUCAUUAACCCCUACAUAAGUGCCCUAGUGCCCCGGCGGGGAGGUGACAUGUAGUGCACUUUGUGUGUCACUGGGAGCGGUUUGGGAUUCGCCCACACAUUCACAUGGAGGGGACACAAACAUAUUAAAGCUCUUUAUAUCGUUAUUACGUGACCUCAGGUUGGAGUGGCUGUGGUCAGGAUGGAGACCAGUGUGUUGCCUCACUGGGAGAUGAGUCUGUACUGGAUCCUGUCCUUCACCUCUCACCUCUACUCAUUCUCCCAGCUUCACUUGUUCUCUAAAGAGCAUGAGGAGAGCUUGGAGAAAGAGGGGCAGCUGGAGAAAGGCUUCUUGAUCCAGGGCAGUAAAAAGGAUGCUGCUGAUUUUGAGUGGAGUUUCUGGACUGAGUGGGCGUGGCAUUCUCUCCUCUGGUCUCUGAUUGGUCAUGCUGUGUUGUCACAGUUUUCCAGUGUGUGGAUGCCUCAGAUGAGAAAGCCCAUCCUCACAGUGUACGGUGUCCUAUGUGCCUGGUGGCUCCUUGGUUUGAGGGGCGUGGCCGUACUGAUGCUACACCUAGUCAUUUCAUUGGCUGUCGCUCAGCUGCAGAACCCCGCCCUUUCCUGGGGCUGCACUCUCUUCCUGCUUUCUACGCUGCACAUCAGCAGCACACAAGAUAUGCAGCGAGGCUGGUACGACUCUGAGGAGAACUUUUAUCUCCUGAUGUUCAGCAUCGCAAUGUGUUUGUUACGCUGUGUCAGCUUCAGCCUGGAGCUGUGCUGGCGCCCCCUGCAGGACAGAAGAACUAAUCAUGACUUCUCUUUACUGAACUUUCUAACACAACUUUAUGACCUUGUCUCAUAUUGUUUCUAUCAUCCGCUGUUCUACAACGGCCCCAUCCUUAACUACAACCAUUUCAGCCAACAGAUGAAGAGUGCAGUGUGUAAAGUCUCACUAUUCGUGAUGCUGGGCCAAACUUUGCGUGUGUGUUUGUGGUGGUGUUUAGCUGAGCUUAUGAUCCACUUCAUGUACAUUCAUAGCAUUCAGAACAACGAGACCUACCUUGUAGUUCUCCCAUCCUGGGCUCUUGGAGGCCUGGCCCUGGCUCUCGUACAGUUUUUCUAUGUGAAGUAUUUGGUGUUGUAUGGUGCUGCAUCUCUGCUGAUGAAGUUGGAUGGUAUUGAGCCUCCUCCUCUGCCCCGUUGUGUGAGCACCAUGAAUAGCUUCCAGGGGAUGUGGAGGCACUUUGAUGUGGGGCUGUACAGAUGGCUCAUCAGGUAUGUGUACAUUCCUUUGGGAGGUUCUCAGCAUGGGCUUUUCCAUAAGCUUAUCUCCAUGGCGAUGACGUUCAGCUUUGUGUGUUUGUGGCACGGUUGCCAUGACUACCUGCAGUGCUGGGCCCUGCUCAACUGUGUGUGUGUGAUAUUAGAGAACAGCAUCACACACUUUCUCUGCUGGCCUCCUCUUCAUUCUGCCAUUACAUGUUCUCUGUCGCCGUCCAUGAGGAGGCGUGGCCUUGCGCUUAUCUCUGCUUUUUCCACGGCUAUGUUAAUUCUGUCGAAUCUGGUUUUUCUGGGAGGAAUUCACAUUGGCCGUGUGUAUUGGGAGAGGGUUUUUAUGCAAGGUGGUGUAAUCACUGGCAUCAUCGUCGCUCAGAGUGAAAUCAUCAUCCUCAGAGAAAUGGGGCCAGAAUCUGGGCCCAGUUCUCUUCAGGCCGCUCCUCCUGCAGCGUGAACGUUAGCAAGGUGCUGUGAUCUCUGUGGUGGUGGCGUGCAUGCAUUGGGCCAGCUCCUGGGACAUGGCUUGCUGCAGUAGACUGGCUUCCAGUGGUGGCUGCUGUGUUAAUGCCCACAUCCCCCACCAGUGUGGCUACUUAGAGGGCUGAACAUAGUCUGGGGCUGGUCCUCCAUAGCACUUCCUGUGCUUGGGUGUCUGUACUGUUUUGCACAGGUUGGACUGGAGAUGGACAGAAAGAAGACAUGAAGAUUGUAAAUUUUAGCUCAUUUUGACUGAGACCACUGUGGUGCAGUGCGACAGGUGGAGUGUGUGUGGAGUUUGGGUGUAUGUGUGUGUGGUGGGAGUGGGCGGGGGGGGGGGUGGUGGAGUGGAGUGGGUGCUGAUUCUUCUUGUGCUUAAAUGGAUUUAUGCAUUUACUGCUGUUAUUUAUUCAUGUUUAUAUGGUUUAUAAAAACACUCGUAUCUGAUCAUUUAUAAAGGUCAAAAUUUCAAAUGCAACUAAUUAUUAUUUUAAUAAUUCCUUGUUAUCAGACCUUCAGUACUCAGUGACAACAGGAGCUGCUUCUUUGUGCAUAAAUAAACUUUUUUUAUGCUGCGUGCA